CUUCCCCAGCUAGCACUUCCAAUUCCCCAAAUCUCCGUUUCUUCUCACAAAACCCUAUCUCUCCUUCUUCAACAGCGAGCUUCCCCAAUUCUUCAGCUUUUAAUUUCAGUGGUCACAACUACAAAACUAUCCCAAGAAUGAGGUCUAACCACGCCGCCAAGUUUCUCGGUAGAAUUUUGUCGAAUUCUUCAUCUAAAUUCUCCACUUUUGCCAUCACUUCUCCACAUUAUCAAUCAUUUCUUCUACCCAGUUUUCAUUUUGAUAAUGCCAGCUGCCAAAUGAGGAGACACUUCUCCGCCUAUCCCAGAUUCGAUUUUGAAUCUAUACGUGAACCCAAUGAUGCCGUCGCUCUAUUUCAGGAUAUGAUGGGAACGGAGCCGCUUCCUUCUGUUAAGCUUUUCUCGAGAUUGCUGAGUGCUGUGGUGAAGCUGAAACAAUACUCUGCUGCACUUCAUCUGUUCGAAAAAAUGCUUCAAAGGGAUGCUCCUGUAAAUCACUACACGUUGAGUAUUGCGAUUGAUUGCUAUUGCCGACUCAAAAGGCCUGAUUUUGGGUUUGCGAUCUUAGGCAGUUUUUUCAAGCGUGGGUUCGAGCCUACCGUGGUGACCUUCAACACUCUCGUGAAAGGCCUUCUGUUUGUUGAAAGGAUCCCAGAGGCAGCUAAAUUGUUGGGGAAGCUGUCGGCCUACCAACUGUGCGAGCCCGACGAAUAUACGUAUAGUACUAUAAUUAAUGGGUUAUGCAAAGCUGGAGAUAUUCUCCAGGCGAUUGAUUUGCUCUGCUCAUUGGAAAAAGGAAAAGGGAGCUGCAAACCCGAUGUCUAUGCUUACAGUGCAGUUAUUGAUGGUCUAUGCAAGAACGGAAAGGUGGACGAAGCUCUCCAACUCCUCUCCACUUUGGGUGAUAAGGGGAUUUCACCCAAUGUUGUGACAUAUAGUUCAAUAAUUGAAGGGUUGUGCAAGAUGAAAAGAAUGGACGAGGCUCAAGACAUUUUCUUGAAGAUGAUUGCUGAUCUGGUCAGCCCAAAUGUGGUGACAUGUAAUAUCUUUGUGGAUGCUUGGUGCAGAGAUGGAAAGGUGGAAGAGGCCGAACAUAUGUUGGUAUCUAUGAAGGAGAUUGAUGUUCAACCCGAUAUUGUCACUUAUACUGCAUUGAUGAAUGGAUAUUGUAUGCUAGGAAAACUGGACGAAGCUGAACGCAUUUUCCAAUUGGCAUUGAGCUCUGGAAUGAAGCCCGAUGUGGUUUCUUAUAACAUAAUGCUAGAGGCCUUAUUUCGUGAAGGCAAAUGCGAAGAUGGCUUGAAGCUGUUCAAAGAAAUGGAAGCUCUACAACUGUUUCCGAAUAUAAGGACUUAUAGUAUCUUGUUGGAUGGUCUAUGCAGUGCUCAUCGAAUCAGUGAAGCAUUUUCUGUGUUGCAUACCAUGGAAGAUAAAGGCAUCGUUCCAGACAUAGUAACAUAUAGUAUCCUCAUUGAGGGAUUGUGCAACGACAACAAAGUCAGAGAAGCAAAAGAUCUGUUCGACAAGCUUCCAUCCAAAGGUUUGCAGCCUAAUGUCAUAACGUACAAUAUUCUCAUUGGUGCACUUGGCAAAAGAGGGCAGAUAAAGGAGGCUAAAGAUCUGUUCCAUGAGCUUCCAUCCAAAGGUUUGCAGCGUGACGUCAUAACAUAUACUAUUCUCAUUGGUGCACUUUGCAAAGAAGGGCAGAUAGAGGAGGCUAAAGAUCUGUUCCAUGAGCUCCCAUCCAAAGGUUUGCAGCCUGAUGUCAUAACUUAUACAAUCCUUAUCGGUGCACUUUGUGAGGAAGGUCAGAUCGAGGAGGCUAAGGAUUUGAUGAUGCAAAUGGUAAACAAUGGUUGCUUGCCUAAUAGUGUGACGUACAAUGUUUUUGUUCAAGGUCUUCUCAAAUCGAACAAGGCGCAAGAUGCAAUUCUGUUGUUGGAAGAGAUGGUUUCAAGGGGAUUCACACUUGGUGUCAACACUAUUUCGAUGCUGAUUGAACAUGUGAAAAGGGAAGCUCAGCAUAGAGAAGAAGUAAAGCUCCUCAAUUUGUAAGUCUCAGUCUGUUGGCUUCCUUUUCUGGAACCUCCAAAAUCAUCGGCAAUGGCGGCUUAGCAGAUAAAGAAAAGUUCUUCUGCGAGAGUUUGGUACAGGAGUGAGGAUUCUUCAGUGGGAGAUCUAUCAAGAAUCUGCAAACGUUGAUCUUUCAAGGAAGGUGUGGACUAGUCGAUGCACCAGCUGAAAUUUGGGAGAUGUCACAACUCAGGCACGUCGUGUGCAACGAAAUUCGUCUCCCUGAUCCUCCUCCGAGUGACCAGGAAGAUGACGCUUGUGUCUUGAGAAACUUGCAAACACUUGUGCAAGUAGUGAAUUUCAGAUGGACGGAGGAGGCGUGCAAGAGAAUCCCAACAUCAAGAAAUUGCGCGUGGUUUUUGGUGAUGUCUUGACAGAUUACGAAGAUUGCUUGUGCUUACACUAUCUCCACAACCUCUGCUCUUUACAGAAGCUCGAAUCACUAAACAUGAGGUUCCCUUUCUGCAUAUCGCGAUAUCCAGUGGAUUUGCUGAGCAAGAGGCUUGCCUUCCCCACUCGGCUAAACAAGUUGUGCUUGAGAAACUGCAGCCUCACUCGUGAAGAUCUGGCAGCGAUUGGUUCGUUGCAACAUCUACAAGUUCUUGAGCUUGAACACAGCUCUUUCUUGGGAGGCGAGUGGAGCACUUUCAACGGUGAGUUCCCUUGUCUUAAAUUCUUGAGAAUCGACAGCUGUGAUGUCGUGUGUUGGGCUUCAGACACCUCUGCUUUUCGAGUUCUUGAAAAGCUCGUUGCUCGAGAUCUGUGGCAGUUGCAAGAGAUCCCAUCGGAGAUGGGAGAGAUAAGCACUCUCAAACUCAUUCAUUUACAUCACUGCUCUGAAUCUGCGGCCAUUUCAGCAUUGGAGAUUAAGAAAGAGCAAGACAGCUUUGGGAAUGAUAGCCUUAAGAUUUUUGUUGACACCUCUGGUUACAGUAAUAGUUUCUGGGUAUGGGUGAAAGUGGAGAGUUUACCCAUCAAUAUUAUUCGAUUUAGGCCUUUUGGAAAUUCAACAUUUUGGAUAAUAUUCCCUCUGUCUACGAAAGAAUUUAUAGGAUUGAGUGGUACUCGUUUUAAGAAAAAAGUUGUUUAGCGUAUUGAGAGUCGAGAAAAAGUUGUUUAGUGCAUUGAGAGUGAUGAAAAAGUGUUAUAAUGAAUAUUGAGAGUUGUGAAAUAGUAAAAGUAAGAGAUAUUAUAAGUGGUGGGGUAUAGUCCAAAAAUACUUAGAAAGUUUUUUGUUUUUUGUGGAUGUCUCAAAAAGAAAAGAUAGGAAGUUCUUUCUUGGACGGAAGGAGUAUCACUUUAAAUCUCAAACUGCUUUACUGCUUUUUACAGAUUCCCAUGACAACACAGUCAUUUGGAGGAGGAGGAGGACGGGGAAGAUAAAUCCGUGAGCACUCCACAUGCCUAAGUUGUGAUAAGCUCCAAAUUUCAAUUGGUGUGCAAUGACAAGUCUCGCAUCAAUUGUCAAUGUUUGCACC